rnacentral:rRNA from 1 species
UACGAAGGGGGCGAGCGUUAUUCGGAAUCACUGGGCGUAAAGCGUGCGUAGGCUGCUUGGAAAGUUGGAAGUGAAAGCCCAGGGCUCAACCCUGGAAUUGCUUUCAAAACUACCAGGCUAGGAUUUGGGGAGAGGAUAGCGGAAUUGUCAGUGUAGCAGUGAAAUGCGUAGAUAUUGACAGGAACACCAGUGGCGCAAGCGGCUAUCUGGACCAACAUCGACGCUGAGGCACGAAAGCGUGGGGAGCAAACAGG